rnacentral:rRNA from 1 species
UACGAACUGUGCAAACGUUAUUCGGAAUCACUGGGCUUAAAGGGUGCGUAGGCGGCUUGUUAAGUAGGUGUGAAAUCCCCCGGCUCAACCACACGAAUUGCCUUCGAUACUGUCGAGCGUUGAGACCGGAAGAGGUAAGUGGAACUGCGAGUGUAGAGGUGAAAUUCGUAGAUAUUCGCAAGAACGACCGGUGGCGAAGGCGGCUCUCUGGCCUUACCGU